ACACUGCAACAUUUCGACUCAAGAAUGGGUUCUUGUGAAGCUUGACAAAGACCCAUUCUUGGGUCGAAAUGUUGCAGUUU